rnacentral:rRNA from 1 species
GAUGAACGCUAGCGGCAGGCCUAACACAUGCAAGUCGAGGGAGAAGCCUUUCGGGGCAGAAACCGGCGCACGGGUGCGUAACGCGUAUGCAACCUACCUUUCACAGGGGGAUAGCCCGAAGAAAUUUGGAUUAAUACCCCAUAAUAUUGUUGGAUGGCAUCAUCUGAUAAUUAAAACUGCGGUGGUGAAAGAUGGGCAUGCGUCCUAUUAGCUAGUUGGAGUGGUAACGGCACCCCAAGGCUACGAUAGGUAGGGGUCCUGAGAGGGAGAUCCCCCACACUGGUACUGAGACAGGGACCAGACUCCUACGGGAGGCAGCAGUGAGGAAUAUUGGUCAAUGGUCGGAAGACUGAACCAGCCAUGCCGCGUGCAGGAAGAAUGCCUUAUGGGUUGUAAACUGCUUUUAUAUGGGAAGAAUAAGGUGUACGUGUACAUNGANGACGGUNCCA